AAAUAUUAAAAAGGAUUAGGGGAUGAAGCAGAAACUUCAGGAAACGGGAAAAUACAAAAGCAGGGAAGGAAAGAAAGAGAAAAGAAGAAAAGAGAGUAAGAAGAAGAAAGCUUUGGACAAAGGAUUUAAGAAGAACUGGGGGUUGAAAUUGAAUCCUUCGGCUCAAGAGGUUAACCUUCUUCUUAUCAGUUGAAUUAUUUUACUACAUCUACGCGAUUUCAUGUAGUACAAAAGAAUUUCAUAUCAGUUUUUUCAUAAAUAAUUAUUAUAGAUAGUAAGGCUAUAAAGGUUUGAUUUAGGUACUGAUAGGUUUAAUUUUGGAGAAAUAAAGUAUAUUAAAUAGUUUGAAGUUGAUAGAAUUAUGAACUAGUUCUAUGAUUAAAUAUAAAUACCUUUUUAUUUACAAGAUUUUUGGACUGAUUUAAAUUACUCAUAGUAUGGGUAAAUAGAAAUCCACAAUUAAGACUCAAACAUGAACCCCGAUGAUUGGGUUUUCUAAAAUAGCUAUGAAUUAGCCUAAAUAAGGAAAUUAACAUGAGAUCGAUAUUAUGUAAUUAUAGAUUGAUUGGAGAAAUUUGUAUGCAUUGCUCGAGGUGAAGCAUUUGGUAUUUCGGCACAAGUACUGUGGUAGUAAUCUUACCGCAAUUUGUGUUUUCAUAACUUGCAUGAUUUACACAUGAUUUUUAAUAUGAAUAUGUUACCGAUUAUUUUAAGUUACACGUGGGACAAGUCUUUUACUCGAUAUGAUACCGAAAUAGUUAUUUGAGAAGAUUACCGUUGUUUUAAAUAUUUUCGUUGUCACUAGAUCUGUUUUACCAUUACUUGAAUUUACUGUUAUCGAAAAGAAAUUAUAUGAUUCGAUAAGAACCGAAAUGGCCUAUAUUGUUUUAAGAUAUUUUCUAUGAGUAUAUACGGAUUACAGAGACAAGUAUAAAUGAGAGUAGAUAUUGAAGGAUCCCGUAGCUAACGGCGGGUUCGUUAGACCUGGUGUACCUUGUAAUUAUAGAUUACCGUUAUAGCCCUCGCUAGUGGGAAGGUAGAACUAGCAUACCGUUACUGAUUUCCCUCGAGUAGGGACUACCGUUAUAUUUGGCUUCUUGCGAAGAAGUCCACAGUUAUACCGAUUACAUGAUCCGUUCAUUAAAACCUCCCAAAUGUGAAUAUUGAUAUUAGACAGUGGUUACCGAGCUUAUUACCGAACUGUUACUUGUAUUAAUCUACAAAAAAGCAUGACGAGACUGAAAAUUAUUUAUUGUUCCUGAAAGGACAUUUUAUGUUAUUUUCUGUUUGAUAUACUAGCAUGUUUUCUGACUUAUCCCCAAUAAAAACGGUUGUGGUUAAGUGUUAUUACUCACUGAGCUAGUGACUCAUUUCCCGCUAAUAUUUUUUUACAGAGACAACAGUUAACGCAGGCGAGGAUUUCGUUAGUUAGAGCGCACGAGUUGAUAUUUCUCGGUGAGCCUCGCACUUGUUCGCGUGGGCAGAGAUUUUAUUUAUUGUAAUGGUCUUUUCAUUGAACUCUUAGAGUCGCUCCAUAGUCAUUAUUUUAGUGUCAUGAGUAUUCUUUUGUUAUUAUAGUCUUAUGUUGAGUAUCGCUCUCAUUUAUCAAAGUUGGAGAUAAAUUAAUAUUUCUAGUGGUGAGUUGGUGGUUUAUUUAUGGUGGAGACUUGUAUUGGUUAAUUGACAAGUUGUUAAUUGUUUGGUAUGAUAUUAGGAUGUUUGGUUGUUGAUUUGAGACAGGAAACAUUUUGGGAUGGUCCAAAAAUAAGGGAAACUCUGUCCGAUUUUCUGUAAAAUUACCGAUGAGGCUUACUUGGGAGCACUUGCUCCUAAGCGCCGGUCACGAUCCUAAAUUUGGUCGUGACAAAGUUGGUAUCAGAGCUUAGGCUUUAAGUCCCGAGGUAUGGAGCAAUGUUUAGUAGAGUUUUGUUCAUGGGUAUGUAGGCGCCCAUACUUAUGAUCUUGAGGCUAUUGAACAUCUAGGAAUAUUUUCCCUUCUUUCAUUCUUUGAUUGUGCAUUGAGAUAACUUGAGAUUGACUUUGGAAUAUUUCUUUCACAGAUGGUGUCACACCUCCUUUUUCACCUACACCCGCAAAGGGGCGUAAAAGGGAGUUUUUCCAAUUAAAGGACAAUCGAAACGAGAUUUAUUAUUUAAUUCAGAGUAGCCACUUGGGAGAUUUAUGGUGUCCCAAGUCACCGGUUGAAUCCCGAAUCGAGGAAAAGAUUAACUCUGUUUAACAGUCUGCGCACCAAAAAUCCAGAUAAGGAAUUUUGUUAACCCGGGAGAAGGUGUUAGGCAUUCCCGAGUUCCGCGGUUCUAGCACGGUCGCUUAACUGUCAUAUUCGG
rnacentral:lncRNA from 1 species